UUAUAGAAUCCGGGGUGCUGGAAUUGGCCGGCUGAGAUUGUAUCCCUUCAAGAUACUGACCCUUUUAACCUGAUCUGGGUAAUGCCAGCGUAGGAAACCGUUUGUCACGGCUU
rnacentral:ncRNA from 1 species